rnacentral:rRNA from 1 species
GGAUAAUCUGCCCUCAGGUGAGGAAUAAUCCCGGGAAACUGGGGCUAAUACCUCAUAGGAGACAGGUGCUGGAAUGCUCUGUCUCCGAAAGGUCUGCCGCCUGAGGAUGAGUCUGCGUCCGAUUAGGUAGUUGUUGGGGUAACGGCCCAACAAGCCAUUGAUCGGUACGGGUUGUGGGAGCAAGAGCCCGGAGAUGGAUUCUGAGACAUGAAUCCAGGCCCUACGGGGCGCAGCAGGCGCGAAAACUUUACAAUGCGAGCAAUCGUGAUAAGGAAACCCUGAGUGCCUGUCAAUGCAGGCUGUUCUGGUGUCUAACACACACCAGGAGAAAGGGCGGGGCAAGACCGGUGCCAGCCGCCGCGGUAAUACCGGCUGCUCGAGUGAUAGCCGCUUUUACUGGGCUUAAAGCGUUCGUAGCUUGGUCGUUAAGUCUCUGGGGAAAUCUUUUGGCUUAACCAAAAGGCGUCUCAGGGAAACUGGCGAUCUUGGAACCGGGAGAGGUAAGACGUACUUCGGGGGUAGGAGUGAAAUCUUGUAAUCCCCGAGGGACGACCGAUGGCGAAGGCAUCUUACCAGAACGGCUUCGACAGUGAGGGACGAAAGCUGGGGGAGCAAACCGGAUUAGAUACCCGGGUAGUCCCAGCCGUAAACGAUGUGCGUUAGGUGUGUCAGUGACCACGAGUCGCUGAGGUGCCGAAGGGAAACCGUGAAACGCACCGCCUGGGAAGUACGGUCGCAAGGCUGAAACUUAA